rnacentral:rRNA from 1 species
AUUGAACGCUGGCGGCAGGCUUAACACAUGCAAGUCGAGCGGGGGAAGGUAGCUUGCUACUGGACCUAGCGGCGGACGGGUGAGUAAUGCUUAGGAAUCUGCCUAUUAGUGGGGGACAACAUCUCGAAAGGGAUGCUAAUACCGCAUACGUCCUACGGGAGAAAGCAGGGGAUCUUCGGACCUUGCGCUAGUAGAUGAGCCUAAGUCGGAUUAGCUAGUUGGUGGGGUAAAGGCCUACCAAGGCGACGAUCUGUAGCGGGUCUGAGAGGAUGAUCCGCCACACCGGGACUGAGACACGGCCCAGACUCCUACGGGAGGCAGCAGUGGGGAAUAUUGGACAAUGGGGGGAACCCUGAUCCAGCCAUGCCGCGUGUGUGAAGAAGGCCUUAUGGUUGUAAAGCACUUUAAGCGAGGAGGAGGCUACUUUAGUUAAUACCUAGAGAUAGUGGACGUUACUCGCAGAAUAAGCACCGGCUAACUCUGUGCCAGCAGCCGCAGUAA